UCUCGACUAGUAUAUCGGUUGAGUACACGCGCCUGUCAUUCGGAUGUACUCCUAUGGUCGCGCGAAAGCUGGGUUCGACUCCCAGGUCGAGAG